AUUGAACGCUGGCGGCAGGCCUAACACAUGCAAGUCGAACGGUAACAGGAAGAAGCUUGCUUCUUUGCUGACGAGUGGCGGACGGGUGAGUAAUGUCUGGGAAACUGCCUGAUGGAGGGGGAUAACUACUGGAAACGGUAGCUAAUACCGCAUAACGUCGCAAGACCAAAGAGGGGGACCUUCGGGCCUCUUGCCAUCGGAUGUGCCCAGAUGGGAUUAGCUAGUAGGUGGGGUAACGGCUCACCUAGGCGACGAUCCCUAGCUAGUCUGAGAGGAUGACCAGCCACACUGGAACUGAGACACGGUCCAGACUCCUACGGGAGGCAGCAGUGGGGAAUAUUGCACAAUGGGCGCAAGCCUGAUGCAGCCAUGCCGCGUGUAUGAAGAAGGCCUUCGGGUUGUAAAGUACUUUCAGCGGGGAGGAAGGGAGUAAAGUUAAUACCUUUGCUCAUUGACGUUACCCGCAGAAGAAGCACCGGCUAACUCCGUG
rnacentral:rRNA from 1 species